rnacentral:rRNA from 1 species
AACGAACGCUGGCGGCAUGCCUAACACAUGCAAGUCGAACGAAACCUUCGGGUCUUGUGGCGCACGUGUGCGUAACGCGUGGGAACCUGCCCUUAGGUUCCGAAUACCUCCCCGUAAGGUGUCCUAAUACCGGAUAGUCUCUUCGGGCCAAAGAUUUCUCGCUUUUGGGUGGGCCCGGGUUGGAUUCGCGAGUUGGUAGUGUACAAGCCUAGCAAGGCGAUGUUGCAUGGCUGGUCUGUUAGGAUGACAAGCAAGGAUGGCACUGCGACACGGCCCAGAACCCUACGGAGAGGAGCAGUAGAGAAUAUUGUACAAGGGGCGAAAGUGUGAUACAGCAACGCCGCGUGUGUGAGGAAGGCCGUAGUGUUGUAAAGCUCUUUUACCCGGGAUGAGAAUGACAGUACCGGGUGAAUAAGCUCCGGCUAACUCCGUG